GUUUUGUUUUGAUAAUAUGAAAACUAAAGUAAACAUUACGAGCCGAAUCACUUGUUCGAACAAAAAGAACGAAUAUUGCAUGAUUCUUCAGGGUCGUGUUCCGUAUGUGCUGUGAACAUAGCACAUCUCGUUUCUCUUGAGUCUUGACUCUUCGCUGUUCUCUUGUUUCGUUCUCACCUUCUUACUCUUCUAACCUAACUUCCUCUUACUUCUUUUACGAAUACGAAAAGUGUACUAAGCCUUGCGAGUGAGAAAAUUAUUGUUGUAUUAUAUUGUAUUUGCGAUGGGUCUCACUGAAACUAAUAACCCUCCUAAGGAGCCCACUAUCGUGAUGAAAUCACUGAGAUCGAUAAUUCAUUUUAUGGGUAGUCCACGUGCUUACGUAUUGCUCGUUGUAGGCGCUAUUGGAUUUCAAACAUACGAUUUAUUCGCUCAGAAACGGACGGAUGUUCCUCUUCAAAAGGAAGUGAUUGACAUUCCAAAAAAUACGGUCAAAGAAGGUUCAGUUCCACGUCGUUGAAUAUAAUUGAGAUUGAGUUUAUUUGUAGUUUGACAUUGAGAUGUGUUCACCGGUGUAUUCAUAUUCAAUGUUGUCUUUUAUUUCGUUGCAAGAUUUACAUAUAAUCAAAUUUUGUGUAAUGAUAUAUUUUCAAUUUCAUAUUACAUGAAGAUUAUCACGGGA